rnacentral:rRNA from 1 species
UAGGGAAUUUUUCACAAUGAGCGAAAGCUUGAUGGAGCAAUGCCGCGUGAACGAUGAAGGUCUUUAAGAUUGUAAAGUUCUUUUAUUUGGGAAGAAUGACUUUAGCAGGUAAUGGCUAGAGUUUGACUGUACCAUUUUGAAUAAGUGAUGACUAACUAUGUGCCAGCAGUCGCGGUAAUACAUAGGUCGCAAGCGUUAUCCGGAUUUAUUGGGCGUAAAGCAAGCGCAGGCGGAUUGAAAAGUCUGGUGUUAAAGGCAGCUGCUUAACAGUUGUAUGCAUUGGAAACUAUUAAUCUAGAGUGUGGUAGGGAGUUUUGGAAUUUCAUGUGGAGCGGUGAAAUGCGUAGAUAUAUGAAGGAACACCAGUGGCGAAGGCGAAAACUUAGGCCAUUACUGACGCUUAGGCUUGAAAGUGUGGGGAGCAAAUAGGAUUAGAUACCCUAGUAGUCCACACCGUAAACGAUAGAUACUAGCUGUCGGGGCGAUCCCCUCGGUAGUGAAGUUAACACAUUAAGUAUCUCGCCUGGGUAGUACAUUCGCAAGAAUG